GAUGAACGCUGGCGGCGUGCCUAAUACAUGCAAGUCGAGCGAACAGACGAGGAGCUUGCUCCUCUGACGUUAGCGGCGGACGGGUGAGUAACACGUGGAUAACCUACCUCUAUGACUGGGAUAAUUUCGGGAAACCGGAGCUAAUACCGGAUAAUAUAUUGAACCGCAUGGUUCAAUAGUGAAAGACGGUUUUGCUGUCACUUAUAGAUGUAUCCGCGCUGCAUUAGCUAGUUGGUAAGGUAACGGCUUACCAAGGCAACGAUGCGUAGCCGAACUGAUAGGGUGAUCGGCCACAAUGGAACUGAGACAGGGUCCAGACUCCUACGGGAGGCAGCAGUAGGGAAUCUUCCGCAAUGGGAGGAAGCCUGACGGAGCAACGCAGCGUGAGUGAUGAAGGUCUUCGGAUCGUAAAACUCUGUUAUUGGGGAAGAACAAAUGUGUAAGUAACUAUGCACGUCUUGACGGUACCUAAUCAGAAAGCCACGGCUAACUACGUG
rnacentral:rRNA from 1 species